UACGUAGGGGGCAAGCGUUGUCCGGAUUUAUUGGGCGUAAAGAGCGUGUAGGCGGCUUGGAAGGUCAGCUGUGAAAACUCGAGGCUCAACCUCGAGACGUCGGUUGAAACCACCUGGCUAGAGUCCGGAAGAGGAGUGUGGAAUUCCCGGUGUAGCGGUGAAAUGCGCAGAUAUCGGGAGGAACACCUGUGGCGAAAGCGGCUCACUGGACCACAACUGACGCUGAGGCGCGAAAGCUAGGGGAGCAAACAGG
rnacentral:rRNA from 1 species